UAUGCGUACGCAGGAGGGGGAGGGGCACGUAAACAGAGAAUUCCAAAAAGGAAGGGAGUGUUUCUUUCAACUGAUAAUCCAGUAAAUCAAGGUUAGAAUCAUGCCCAUUCGCCGAUCAGCUGCAGCCCCACCCAAAGAGGAUGCACCCCCUGCAAAUGCCCCUGAGGGAGAUGCUCCUGCCAAAGGG